GACGAACGCUGGCGGCGUGCUUAACACAUGCAAGUCGAACGAUGAAGCCCAGCUUGCUGGGUGGAUUAGUGGCGAACGGGUGAGUAACACGUGAGCAACGUGCCCGGAACUCUGGAAUAACUACCGGAAACGGUGGCUAAUACUGGAUAUGUUCCAGGGAGGCAUCUCCUCUGGUUGGAAAGAUUUUUCGGUUUCGGAUCGGCUCACGGCCCAUCAGCUUGUUGGUUGGGUAAUGGCCUACCAAGGCGACGACGGGUAGCCGGCCUGGGAGGGUGACCGGCCACACUGGGACUGAGACACGGCCCAGACUCCUACGGGAGGCAGCAGUGGGGAAUAUUGCACAAUGGGCGCAAGCCUGAUGCAGCAACGCCGCGUGAGGGAUGACGGCCUUCGGGUUGUAAACCUCUUUUAGUAGGGAAGAAGCGCAAGUGACGGUACCUUCAGAAAAAGCACCGGCUAACUACGUG
rnacentral:rRNA from 1 species